rnacentral:lncRNA from 1 species
CGCUGUCCUUGAAACUCCUUCCCUCCUCUCUUCUCUCUUACUCCCUUCUAACCCUAGGUCGCCAUUACUGUUACCCCUCUCAAUUCACGGGUUCUUUCUUCAAUUUCAUGCCUUAUCUGGCCUGAGAUCUCUACUGGUUGUUCGAUUUUCAUGUUAUUGAUGGGAUCUCAAGGGAUUCGAACAAGAUUUAGUUCAAAUCUCUCAUCUUUUCGAUUAAUCCGCCUAUAUUACCCCAUGUCUGUGAGUAUUGUCACUUUUGUAUUUUCAUGACUUCAAAUCUCUGGUUUAAACUAGAUUUUCCAUCUCUGUUCAUUUUUAAUGUAAACUUAGUUAUUUCUGGUUGAAUCUGUCAGAUCUCUUUAGAUCUGAAGGGUUUUGAGUUUGUUUGAUAUUUUUCCUUCAAGAGUUUUCUGUUUUACUAUUAUUGUCAACCGAUUUCUUUUUUUUUUUCCUAAAAGCUAGGAUUCGAUUUUUGCUAAGAGAUUUCAGCAAAAUGUUUUAAACGUUUAGGCAUUUUUCAACUUUAGUUUUUCUUCUUUGCUUUUUUUCGACUAAUCUUACUGGAGUUUCAUCUUUAUGGCUUUACACUUUAGGGUUUUCAAUUAUCUGACAGUUGGUUAUAAUGUUUUGCCCGCUUACCUAGCUUUGUCAAUUAACGUAUUAAUUGAUUUACUUGCUUAAUUAGGGUUUGAAAUUGUGCUUCCCUUUAAAACUGAUAUUUCCUUAUAUGAUUUUUUCCCGUUCUUUCCUUAUGUGUGGUUAUAACUGGUACUACCUCCCUUAAUCCCUAUACUGGUAUGAUUUCUGUGUUUUGAUUGAUCUCUGGACUUACUACUUAUUUUAAACCUCAACCUUGUCCGCUGACUUACUCCCUGUGAGAUUCUCCUUAAUUUAAGGGAUACUUACUUAAUUCUACUUAUUAAUUGAUUUAUGUUAGCCCUAAUUGAUUGAUUAACUGAUAUCUUUGUCUUAUUUGUGUGCAAUUGAUUUCAUACUUUAUUUGUUUUCUUUAUUGUAUGCUAUAAAAGCCUUUCAUUGUUCUGACAUAGGAAUACACUCAGAAUGAUAUAGAAACACACAAGAACUCUUAUUCACACACACUCUUCAUUGUAAUUCUUUCUGUUACUUGUGUUUGCUGCACUGUCUAGCCGGCUGAAAGCCAAGGCUAGGCUAUUGGAUUCAAGUUACCUUCAUCUUCCUGUUUGCUAUCUCUUACUUCUCUAUAACUUAUACGAUUAGUUCACUCAGAACCUCAACCUAUGCAUGUUUAUUAUAUGCUUCUUGUUUAUUUUAAUUAGUAUGCUUUAGUUUUGUUAUCUCUUUGUUUCAUGUGGCUGUGUGGUUAGUGAUCCAAUAUGCUUCUGUUCUGCCCUAUGUUUCUCCUAACUAGCCUGACUUAGGUCUUGUCCUGUUCUAUGUGAUAGCAUGUUCCUGUUUGAUCCAUGAUACUUAUUUACCCAUUUCCCAAUUAGCAUGCCCCAGUUCCUAUCCUGUUUUUAUGUACGCAUAGUCUGCCUUAGCACUUUAGACAUGUAAUUUUUUACCAUCCCCAAGAUUUUACACAUUUUAGCGUAAAUAUUUAGUUUAGGUUUAGUAUCGCUCUCUUUUACUUUAUUUUAUCAGAAAAAUGAAAGUAACAAAAAAGUAUUUUUCUUUUAUUUAGCUAAUUAAUAUUUUUAUCUAGUUACUUUUAAAUUGUCUACUUUACAUAAAAUUUUAAAACACACAAAAUAGUUUUAGGAAUAUUAUUUUAAUUUUGCAAUGAUUUUUCCAUUUUAUCUUUUAGUAUGAUAUUUGAAAAAUAUCAAAAAUAGGUUUGUUUUAACAGUUAGUUUUAUUUUAAUAAUUAUUUUACUUAAGUAGGAUUAAUUAGUAAAUGAUGUAGAAUUUUUGGUCUUGUUUUAGAAGAAAGAGUAUGAAAUUUGAAGCUAAUUUUAUUUGGUCUUAAUUGAAAAGGCUCAAUUUCGAAUAGGGGAUUUUUACCUGUACAUCACAUAUAGCAAACCUUAUUACCAUUAUUGUGCAUUGAUUGGUUAUUACCCUCAUAUUCCAUGUUUUUGUUACAAAAAAUGUACCAAACAAAAUUUUGCUGAUUUUGCAGCCUACAAUAACGCCUCUUUUUAAGGCUCCACCGUAUGUUAAAUAUUUUGUAGCCUAAAAUAGCACCUGUUUUUAAGGCUCCCAAUUAAUCUUUGAUUUUGUACCAAUUAAAUGCUCAAUCAAAAAUGGUAAAAUCUCUUAACCAGCGUGAAUCUCUCCUCUUUUCUGUUUCGAAUCUCUCCUCUUUUCUGUUUCGAAAAUCAGUCAUUCUUCCAUCGAAAAUCAUAAUUUGUAGUUCUUCCGUGAUAGUCAGGUUCGAAAAUCAGAAAUUGUAGUUCUUCCGUAAUUGCCAGUUUCGAAAAUCUUUCAUUUUUCUACAUCAAAUACCGAAAAUCAUAAUUG